rnacentral:pre_miRNA from 1 species
AAUAAACGAAUUUCUUUGUUUUUAUUGAAUUUUUUACUCUUCAUCUUAUUUAAAAUUUUUUUAUGAUUACUAUUUUUAUUGUUACUACAUGAUAAAAUAUGAAUAGUACUUUACUUGCGACUAUUUUUUUUAAUUUUUUAAUAAAUUUUUCAAAUAAAAUGGAUGGUCAAACACUCAACCUACCAAACC